rnacentral:misc_RNA from 1 species
GAUGAAGAACGCAGCGAAAUGCGAUAAUUAAUGUGAAUUGCAGAAUUCAGUGAAUCAUCGAGUCUUUGAACGCACAUUGCGCCCCCUGGUAUUCCGGGGGGCAUGCCUGUCCGAGCGUCAUUGCUGCCCUCAAGCCCGGCUUGUGUGUUGGGCCCUGCUCCCCCGGGGGCAGGCCCGAAAGGCAGUGGCGGCACCGCGUCCGAUCCUCGAGCGUAUGGGGCUUUGUCACCCGCUCUGUAGGCCCGGCCGGCGCUUGCCGACCCCCAUCAAUCUUUUUUCAGGUUGACCUCGGAUCAGGUAGGAAUACCCGCUGAACUUAAGCAUAUCAAUAAGCGGAGGA